rnacentral:lncRNA from 1 species
AUGUUUGGUUUAAUAACAUUUUAUUAUGAAUGGUUGCUUCUUUAUUCCUAAGGGAUAGUCUGUAGUUUUCUUUUCUUACGUCUUUGUGUGGGAUUUUUAUCAGUGAUCCUGGCCUCACAAAAUGAGUUGAGACAUGUUCCUUCCUCUUAUUUUCUGAAUUUAUGGAAAGUAUUGUUAUUUUUGCCUUAAGUGUUUUAUGUGCAUAGCCUAGCAUUCAGUCUAAGCCUCAAGGGGACUGGAUAGAGGUUGCCAACACUCCUUCUGCACACAGCACCCCCUCGCCAGCAGUCUCAACAGCAAAUUCUGGCCACUUCCUCCAGCCCCAGUUCUGACCUCUGUCUUCCCAACCCAGCAAGACCACUACAGUUAAGGCCCCCGUCCCAGCGCCGUGGUCUGGCAUGUGUUCAGAAACAGGGAGAAAGCUAGGGCGAUCGUAGGGUUCCCUUGUUGAUACUUUAUCCGAGAUUAGAAUCCUAUCCUGCCUGUCAGGUGCUGUUUAAAAACAGUCACGCAGGUUUUGCCCAGGUCCUCAGCCGUUUGCUGUGGAAAGGUAAGCUUGAUACCGGUUAAUUUACAGAGUCAGAGUUGAGUUGAGUUGACCGACUGUCCAGGCCACACCUAGAGAAUUACUCUCCAGCCCAUUAGUGACAAGGUUCGCAAGCCCCUGGAGAGAUGACGCAGAAGCUUUACCAGAGCGUUGCUUCAGUUCAGGCUAAGACAGCUGUUUGCUUUCGGCCUUAACUUUGGUCUUUUCUGAGGACUGGCUGUCCCUCUGUUGAUUGUUGUCUCUGUUGAAAGAUGAGGCACUUCAGCUCCUGGAGUUUAUACAAACGUUCGAAGCCCACCAGACAGAGGCCACAGGCCCAAGUUCCCUCAGGAAGGGAGGCAGGGUGUUUCUCGGUCCCCUGCUCCUUCCUCAUCAAUGACCGAGUUUAACCUCCACUGGUGACAGCGGGAAGCAUGUGCCAGGUCCCAGGGACAAUGAGAUUUUCAUCUUGCCUCAAGACAUCAUAGUGCAGUUCCUGGCACUGCUGGGGAUGCUCAUACAGUUGGGUUACCGUGUUACACGAUCAAGACUAGGCUUUCCAGCACAGGUAAGACCUGGGUGUGUGCAUAUGAGAAAGUGACAUGAUAAAAAUCGUGAGCAGUGGUAGACACAAGAAAAUGUAAGUUCUCAAAAUCAGCAUGAUUAGAAAUUAGAGUUGCUCUUGCGAAUAUAUUUGCUGGGCUUCCUUAUCGGUCAUCUUUACCACGUGCUAAAGGGCUAUAAUCAAUUUAUGAUAACAUGUGUGUUUUCUCAAUGUGAGAAUUUAGUGGCAGUUCUCAAGUCCCGGGUUCGAGCUCCGGCUCCGUGUUAAGCGCCCGUGCCAACCACCUGUACAACCAUGACAGCCACACUGGGAGGCAGGCAUUCAAUCCCCAGUCUACGGAAGAGAAAAUCAAGGCUCAGAGAGGACAGUGGGUCAAACAGGGGCGUGACCCCAAUGCCUGUGCCUUAACCCCUCUGCCAGUGAGCCCAGCACACAUUUGUCUUUUCAUAUUUUUUGUUAUUAACCAUGGGGAGCACUGGGUUAAACAGAAGCUAAAAGUUUCUUUACUGCCACGUCAUCAACACCGCUAUCAGGCACAAGAGAACCCUGGAAACCCCAGGGGCCUCUGCUGUCAACCAACAGAGGCCAGGCCAUUGGGGAGAAGGAUGCUGUAAUGACUGCCCCAUGGAAUUCCAGCCAAGAAGCGCUGUGCCCUGUAGCUUGCGGAUUAUUCCUGCUGGAAAACUGCUCCACGACCUGAAAAGGCAGCUCCGCAUCGGAUGAGGACCUGGCUCUUCUAGAGGCAGCACCUGCUACUCUCAGCACGGAGGGUGGAAGCUGGGGUUGGGGCAGCUGGCUACCCAGCCCCUGACCUCGCUCUGCCCUCCCUGGGCAGAUGCCCCCUCCCCCACAGCCCUGCUCAGGCUCCUCCCUGAGGACCCAGGCAGCGGCCUCGGCCUUGCUCCUUACGGACACUGCUCCCCUCCAGCCCAGCUCAGAGGACCCCCGGCUCCCCCACACCAACUAUGGGAGGGGAGGCAGAGCCUGGCCUCAAAAGGCAAAUGAGGAGUCCUUUUGGGGGGCGGCAGGAGGGGAAAUGCGCCUACAGCACAUGGAGGUUCCCAGGCUAGGGGUCACAUCGGAGCUGCCGCUGCCCGCCUGCACCACAGCCACAGCAACGUGUUCAUCCAGACCUCACGUGGGACCUCCACUGCAGCUUGUGGCUGCGCUGGAUCCUGAACACACCGAGCAAGGCCAGGCAUCAAACCCAUGUCCUCAUGGACACUCUGUCGGGUUCUUCACCUGCUAAGCCACAACAGGAAUUCCAGAGAGCCCUCUUUGAGCCCCACCUCCACAACCCUGGCUGAGACUCC